AUGAACGCUAGCGACAGGCUUAACACAUGCAAGUCGAGGGGCAGCACAGGUAGCAAUACCGGGUGGCGACCGGCGCACGGGUGAGUAACGCGUAUGCAACUUACCUAUCAGAGGGGGAUAACCCGGCGAAAGUCGGACUAAUACCGCAUAAAGCAGGGAUCCCGCAUGGGAAUAUUUGCUAAAGAUUCAUCGCUGAUAGAUAGGCAUGCGUUCCAUUAGGCAGUUGGCGGGGUAACGGCCCACCAAACCGACGAUGGAUAGGGGUUCUGAGAGGAAGGUCCCCCACAUUGGUACUGAGACACGGACCAAACUCCUACGGGAGGCAGCAGUGAGGAAUAUUGGUCAAUGGGCGUAAGCCUGAACCAGCCAAGUCGCGUGAGGGAUGAAGGUUCUAUGGAUCGUAAACCUCUUUUAUAAGGGAAUAAAGUGCGGGACGUGUCCCGUUUUGUAUGUACCUUAUGAAUAAGGAUCGGCUAACUCCGUGCCAGCAGCCGCGGUAAUACGGAGGAUCCGAGCGUUAUCCGGAUUUAUUGGGUUUAAAGGGUGCGUAGGCGGCCUUUUAAGUCAGCGGUGAAAGUCUGUGGCUCAACCAUAGAAUUGCCGUUGAAACUGGGAGGCUUGAGUAUGUUUGAGGCAGGCGGAAUGCGUGGUGUAGCGGUGAAAUGCUUAGAUAUCACGCAGAACCCCGAUUGCGAAGGCAGCCUGCCAAGCCAUGACUGACGCUGAUGCACGAAAGCGUGGGGAUCAAACAGGAUUAGAUACCCUGGUAGUCCACGCAGUAAACGAUGAUCACUAGCUGUUUGCGAUACACAGUAAGCGGCACAGCGAAAGCGUUAAGUGAUCCACCUUGGGAGUACGCCGGCAACGGUGAAACUCAAAGGAAUUGACGGGGGCCCGCACAAGCGGAGGAACAUGUGGUUUAAUUCGAUGAUACGCGAGGAACCUUACCCGGGUUUGAACGCAUUCGGACCGAGGUGGAAACACCUUUUCUAGCAAUAGCCGUUUGCGAGGUGCUGCAUGGUUGUCGUCAGCUCGUGCCGUGAGGUGUCGGCUUAAGUGCCAUAACGAGCGCAACCCUUGCCACUAGUUACUAACAGGUGAUGCUGAGGACUCUGGUGGGACUGCCAGCGUAAGCUGCGAGGAAGGCGGGGAUGACGUCAAAUCAGCACGGCCCUUACAUCCGGGGCGACACACGUGUUACAAUGGCGUGGACAAAGGGAAGCCACCUGGCGACAGGGAGCGAAUCCCCAAACCACGUCUCAGUUCGGAUCGGAGUCUGCAACCCGACUCCGUGAAGCUGGAUUCGCUAGUAAUCGCGCAUCAGCCAUGGCGCGGUGAAUACGUUCCCGGGCCUUGUACACACCGCCCGUCAAGCCAUGGGAGCCGGGGGUACCUGAAGUCCGUAACCGCGAGGAUCGGCCUAGGGUAAAACUGGUGACUGGGGCU
rnacentral:rRNA from 1 species